AGUGAACGCUGGCGGUAGGCCUAACACAUGCAAGUCGAACGGCAGCACAGUAAGAGCUUGCUCUUACGGGUGGCGAGUGGCGGACGGGUGAGGAAUACAUCGGAAUCUACUUUUUCGUGGGGGAUAACGAAGGGAAACUUACGCUAAUACCGCAUACGACCUACGGGUGAAAGCAGGGGAUCUUCGGACCUUGCGCGAUUGAAUGAGCCGAUGUCGGAUUAGCUAGUUGGCGGGGUAAAGGCCCACCAAGGCGACGAUCCGUAGCUGGUCUGAGAGGAUGAUCAGCCACACUGGAACUGAGACACGGACCAGACUCCUACGGGAGGCAGCAGUGGGGAAUAUUGGACAGUAGGCGCAAGCCUGAUCCAGCCAUACCGCGUGGGUGAAGAAGACCUUCGGGUUGUAAAGCCCUUUUGUUGGGAAAGAAAAGCAGCAGGUUAAUACCCCGCUGUUCUGACGGUACCCAAUGAAUAAGCACCGGCUAACUUCGUG
rnacentral:rRNA from 1 species